AUACAUGCAAGUCGAACGAAACUUCUUUAUCACCGAGUGCUUGCACUCACCGAUAAAGAGUUGAGUGGCGAACGGGUGAGUAACACGUGGGCAACCUGCCCAAAAGAGGGGGAUAACACUUGGAAACAGGUGCUAAUACCGCAUAACCAUAGUUACCGCAUGGUAACUAUGUAAAAGGUGGCUAUGCUACCGCUUUUGGAUGGGCCCGCGGCGCAUUAGCUAGUUGGUGGGGUAAAGGCUUACCAAGGCAAUGAUGCGUAGCCGAACUGAGAGGUUGAUCGGCCACAUUGGGACUGAGACACGGCCCAAACUCCUACGGGAGGCAGCAGUAGGGAAUCUUCCACAAUGGGCGAAAGCCUGAUGGAGCAACGCCGCGUGGGUGAAGAAGGUCUUCGGAUCGUAAAACCCUGUUGUUAGAGAAGAAAGUGCGUGAGAGUAACUGUUCACGUUUCGACGGUAUCUAACCAGAAAGCCACGGCUAACUACGUGCCAGCAGCCGCGGUAAUACGUAGGUGGCAAGCGUUAUCCGGAUUUAUUGGGCGUAAAGGGAACGCAGGCGGUCUUUUAAGUCUGAUGUGAAAGCCUUCGGCUUAACCGGAGUAGUGCAUUGGAAACUGGGAGACUUGAGUGCAGAAGAGGAGAGUGGAACUCCAUGUGUAGCGGUGAAAUGCGUAGAUAUAUGGAAGAACACCAGUGGCGAAAGCGGCUCUCUGGUCUGUAACUGACGCUGAGGUUCGAAAGCGUGGGUAGCAUACAGGAUUAGAUACCCUGGUAGUCCACGCCGUAAACGAUGAAUGUUAAGUGUUGGAGGGUUUCCGCCCUUCAGUGCUGCAGCUAACGCAAUAAGCAUUCCGCCUGGGGAGUACGACCGCAAGGUUGAAACUCAAAGGAAUUGACGGGGGCCCGCACAAGCGGUGGAGCAUGUGGUUUAAUUCGAAGCAACGCGAAGAACCUUACCAGGUCUUGACAUCUUUUGACAAUCCUAGAGAUAGGACUUUCCCUUCGGGGACAAAAUGACAGGUGGUGCAUGGUUGUCGUCAGCUCGUGUCGUGAGAUGUUGG
rnacentral:rRNA from 1 species